rnacentral:tRNA from 1 species
GGGGAUUUAGCUGAGCGGCAUAAGCACCUGCCUGGCAAGCAGGCAGGCGGUCGUAAGUUCGAUCCCCG